rnacentral:lncRNA from 1 species
UUUUUAACUCUAACCAUGAUUCUUAAACGUGAUUAGUAAUUUUUUUAAACUCUAACCAUGAUUCUUAAACCUGAUUAGUAAUUUUUUUUUAACUCUAACCAUGAUUCUUAAACCUGAUUAAUAAUUUUUUUUUUAACUCUAACCAUGAUUCUUAAACCUGAUUAGUAAUUUUUUUUAACUCUAACCAUGAUUCUUAAACCUGAUUAGUAAAUUUUAUAACUCUAACCAUGAUUCUUAAACUUGAUUAGUAAUUUUUUUUACUCUAACCAUGAUUCUUAAACUUGAU